AUGUCGUUCCACCGCGGCAGCAGCUCCGGCACCGGCGGCAACGACGGACUGAGCGCGUGGCCGUCGAGCCUGAGCACGCCGGAGACAGAGGAGUUGUACCGGUUUGGGCUCCUCGUGCCGCCGGGUUGCCGUCUUCUGCACAACUGGAAACUCGACAAGGACGGCUACCCGAGGCGCGGGCCCGACGCCACCGCGGAGGAGAAGCGGACCGGCGGCCGCAACAACAUCGCCGGCCGUCACGCGUUCUGGGACGGCAAAGAGUACGCCGCCGUCAUCGGCGCGUACCGGCUGGCGGAGUCUGGCGUCACGCCAGACCUCAUCGGCGACCGCCGCCGCCUUCUUGUCCCGCGCCCCCGUCCAGAAGCGCGCGGCCGUCGGGCCCCUCCACUACCUGCGCCGGCACCCGCCGAUCCCCCCGCCCCGCCGGAGGUGGAACUGCCGCCGGAGCAGGUGGUUCUUCGGGAGGACGGCGAUCCCGACGAUACGCCGGGUUACCUCGUCACCCUGCGGGCGUCGGUGGCUGCAGCGGCGGCGAGGGAGGCCGCCGAGCAGGCGGCAGCGAUCCAGGCGGCGGCGGCGAUUCCGCCGGUGGUCCCGCAGGCGGAGGCGUCGGAGUCGUCGGACGAAGACGUCAUCGACUGGGAGCGGUUAGCCCAGGUCAGCGACGACGACGACGACGGCGGCGGUGACGGCGCGGCGGAGUUCAUCGAUCUCGCGGCUAGCGACAACGAGUAG
rnacentral:rRNA from 1 species